rnacentral:tRNA from 1 species
GUGGACGUGCCGGAGUGGUUAUCGUCUAUGACUAGAAAUCAUGUGGGUUCUGUCCGUGCAAGUUCGAAUCCUGCCGUUCAUG